GCCAUACUCAGGAGUUCCACACAGUGGUCUGUGAGAAAGAAGUAUUUGCUAGUUCAAAUUAGAAAUUUCAUUGACCAUGAUGAUGCUCGAGCGCAGUUACCAGGCAAAGGAGUAGGAAAAUAGAUGUGUUGCUUUUUUUUCCCCUGAAGAUUUCUUUUUCCUCUUUCACCCUGAAUAAUCUGGGUGGUUAACGAACUAUGGCCAAUAGCGGAGCUCGCAGAGGCGUAGCGGGGUGGAGGACAAGUAGAGCACGCCGAUUAGAGCAGGGAAGCAAAAGCAAUGAUGGUUCGACUCAAAGUCGGGGAGUGGCAGAGGUGAGAGAUGAAAGAGACGAGAGGCAGAGCAAUGGGAGAUCAGGAAUAAUAACGGUAAAAGAAAGGAAAGAAGGGUUUCCUUUAUUUUGUUUCAUUAAUUUGAGAUUUUUACGAAAUAUAUGUCAUGAUUUGAUUAUUUUAUCAAAUCUAUUUCAUAAUUUAAAAAUUAUCUAAAAAGUUUAUGAUUUUCAUAUUGUUUCAGAUAUAUCCCAAUAUUAAUUGGUCCAUCAGUUUUUAACGGUACUGCUGAUAUGGAACGUAAGUGAACCUAUACUUACCAUGUGGCCCUUUGUCCAUGAUAGAUUUGAGAAAAAAAAAAUUAAAAUCAUGGGAUAGGUUUGGGAUUCACUUACGUUUCAUUGAUGAACAAAUUAAAACCGUAAUAGAUUUAAAACAAGAUGUAAAUCAUAGGUCAUUUUGGAUAAUUUUUAAAGUAUGUGAUAGAUUUGAGAAAAUUGUAAUAUCAUGAGAUAUAUGGCGUGAAAACCCCUAUUAAUUUUAGUAACUUUAAGAUAAGAUAACAUAUAAUAAUACAUUUUCAAGAAAAAAAAUAGAAUAAUACUUAAAAAAUAAUAAAAUCAUUGCUUUAAGCCAUGAGCUUCUUUUGUACUAAAAAUAAUAAUGAAAAAUAAUUUUGUUCUGGUUCUGAUUAUUUUUUGUGCUAGUUAGGAGUCAGAAUCAGAUUUUAUCGGUUCCUUAUUAUUUUAUAUGGACCCAAUCCUAUUAUAUAACGAAAUAUACCUAGAACCUGCCUAUUAUGGUAGAUUCCAACCAGUUUUGAAUCUACCUUUUACCCUUGUACAGCCCUAGUGCCAUUAUAUUUGUUUGGCAUUGCUGCAUUAGCAAGGGGCACCAAGGUUUAAAGUUAAGAGAAUAAUAAUUAAAAAAAUAAAUUGGGGUCGACGGCUAGCCCGAACUGGUUCUCUCUUCGACGACCACUAAUCCCCAUAAUGAGGUUGCUGCUGUCUCCAAUAGCUAUUGACCACCUCAUCUAGGAGGGUGGUGUCCACUAAUGAUGUCACUAUCAACUAUAAUCAAGGUCCCCAUUUAGGAUCUUGAUUAUCGGGGGUAAUGACCUCAUUGGCUGCCACCACCUUGAGUGUGGUCGCCAGCGACCAUAUAUAGGAGAUGCCUAUCACCUCAUCUUGGGGAUUAGUACUUGCCAAUGAGGUCAUGAUCCCGAUGAGGCCCCAACCUCAUUCCGAGGGUGGUGGCUAUGGGCGAGGCUCCACCUCCCUGUAUGAGGUCGUUGGCUACUAUAUGAGGCACCCAUGACCUCAUCUUGGGGUUGGUAAUAGCCAACCAUGCCAUCAGCCUCCAAUGAGACCCCUACCUCAACUGGGGGGUUGGUGAACUCGACAAGGUCCCUACCCUCGGCAAUUGUGGAUGGUUUUGAGUUUUUUUAUCAUAUUAAAUUUUAAACUUAAAAUUUUAAAAAAUAUUAAAACUGUGGAUGGUUUUUGAAUUUUUUUUAUCUUCUUAAUUUUUAAACUUAUUAGUUUAAAAUUUUAACUUUUUGUUGAUGGUAUAUUGCUAUGUCUGCAAAUAAAUCGAAAGUUCAACAAAAUAAGUCAACAUGAUAGAUGUGAAACUGGAAUAAAAAAUCGUGAUUUUACGUUAAAAAUAAAAGAAUAAUUUAUGAUAGAAUUGUGAGACAAAUUAAAAGUUCAUAUAUUUUUACGCAAUUUACUUGAAAUUUUUUUUCACUUAAUAAUAUUAUUUGAGCCCCCCUUAUAUAUAUCUCAACGAUAAAAGAAGAGUAAUAAUGAUACAUUGAAGUGGUACAAUAUUAAAAAAAAUGCUUUCUUAACAUUGAAACUUCGAAAAACCUAGCUGCUAUUUAUUUAGAGAACUCGAGUUAUGUCCAUACUCCUUUGGUUUUGUCCAUGAACCCGUACUUUUUUAUUUUUUCUUUUUUCUUUUAUUAGAAAAAUGAUAAUCUUUUCUAAAAUCAAGAGGAAAGUCACUUUGCUCACCGGGAAAAAAAGAAGAAGAAGAAGGAAAGUCACUCUGAACUCUCAAACUCUUGAUUUUUUUUUUCCGACAUGAACUCUAGUAUCCAUAAAUUUAAUUGGAUCCCGCCUAAUCCAGUCGAGUCGGGUCAGCCCACUAAAAUGUAAAGGUUUUUCAACAUGAAUUUUCUGCAUUCAUAAGAACUCGAAUCUAAGACAUUGUUUAAUCGGAACAAGUGUCGAACCACUUGAAUCAACUUAUGUUGAUCUCAAACUCUUGAUUUUAACAGGCAACUUUAGGACAUUUUAGGAAUAG